ensembl:lncRNA
GUCAAAUCUAGCCUUUAUUUAACAACAUAAGCAAACUCUAUGUUACAAUGAUUGCACAGCCAUUAAGGAUCAAAUCAGUUUCUGAAAAAUGUUCUGUUUUUUCUCCCUCUGCUUGCUUCUUACUGUCUUUGAGGCUCGGGACCAGCACUCCUGCUGUUGGACAGAAAGACAUCAACUCAGUGACUUGAGAUAUGACUGCACUAUGCUGUUGCUGGUGACCACAGUUAAUUCUACAAGACAUGCUGUGACAACAGGAGAGAUGAGUCCUCCGUCACAGAUGGUGUGGUCAGUGAAGAUGGUCGCCUGCAGGUUCAAGCUCAUUGCAUCUCUAACCCACAUCCACUGCCAC